CUUGCUCUUAUUGAUGGCGAGUGGCGGACGGGUGAGUAACGCGUAGGAAUAUGCCUUGAAGAGGGGGAUAACUUGGGGAAACCCAAGCUAAUACCGCAUAUGCUCUGAGGAGCGAAGCUGGGGACCUUCGGGCCUGGCGCUUUGAGAAUAGCCUGCGUCUGAUUAGCUAGUUGGUGGGGUAAAGGCCUACCAAGGCGAUGAUCGGUAGCUGGUCUGAGAGGAUGGACAGCCACACUGGGACUGAGACACGGCCCAGACUCC
rnacentral:rRNA from 2 species